AAUACUUAAUGGUUCAUGGCUUGGCAAAGGCAUGUUUUUUAUAACCUGGAGCUACACCUGCAGAUGGCCGCUUUAGCCAGACACCUCACAUGAAUGAAGGCCAGCUUGAUAGCAUUCAUAGCUAUGGCUUAAUCACAGUGUUUGCUUUAGGUUAACUGCUUUUGAGUCAGUACUGGGAACAUAAUUUAAGUUGAUCCAGAAAUUCAACAGUGAUGUGGUGAUGUGUUCUGAGCGGUAUUGUUGUUAAGGUUAAAUAGAAAACUUUGCUGAGGAGGGAUUAAAGCAACAUCUUUUGAAAUGGAGCUUGUUAUUUCCAAGCCAACACUCGAACAUCAUUCCUAAAGCUGGAUUAACUAUUUACUAUUUUUCUGUUUAAUUGUUUUGAUUCUUUAAAUGGAAAUGGAAGAUACUGGCAAGUUUAGUUAAUGAAAAAGCUGUAAUGGAUUACCACAUAUUUGUCUAGUAGCCAGUUGAAUCAUUCACCAAUUUAAAUACUUCUGUAGGGCUAUCAUGAUAUUUGUUUUGCAAGGGCUGUUCCAUACAAACAUGUGUGAACCUGGGCAGCCAUUGAUCCUGGGUGUGCUUCUGUGUCAGAAAAUUCAUAGCUGACGGGAAUGCCUGAAACUGUUCCACAUCAAAUUGUGAUCCAUUAUGACUGACAAGUGUUCUGGAACACCAGUCUUGGAGAAGAGGCAUCUCAACACAUCAACAGUGUGUGCGGCUGCAGUGAAGUCUGUUGGUAAAACUCCAGUAGCUGCAUCCUCUACUAUCGAGAAAUUCUGUCCAUGAAUGAUCCAGCAAAAUCCACAUGAAUUCUUUUCCAGGUCAAUGCAGGCCAUUCCCAGGGAUGGAGAGGUGCUGCUCUUAGUAUCUUCUGGAUAUGUUGGGACCCUGAACAGAGCAUGGCAAUCUGCUUGACCUGCUGAUCUACCCCAGGCAACCAGACAAAGCUUCGAGUCAACACCUCAUUUUGACCACACACAGAUGACCAGCAUAUAGGUCCUCCAACACUUCAGCUCUCGGCUUGGAUGGUACAACAACUCUCAAUCCCCACAUAAAUUAACCCCCAUCAAGGGCAAGUUCAUUGCGGCACUGGUAAAAAUAGGGGGACUGCAUAUUACAGCCAUUUUGGGCGCCCAUGUAGACCUGAAGCUGUGUGGCAUUUUUUCUGGUUUCCCUUUGGAACAUCUCUGCUAUAGUGGGAAGACUUUCGAUUUGCAUCAAGGCGAGUGUCCACAUUAGUAAAUUUUUCAGUUAUUUCCUUUUCCAAGGGUAAAUGAGACAAUCCAUCAGCAUUUCCAUGAUGAGUUGUUCUGUUGAAUUCAAUCUUGUAGUUAUGUCCUCCAAGAAAUAGAGCCCAUCACUGUAUUCAUGCUGGUGUUGUUAGUGGAACACCAUUGUGUGGAUUGAAAAUGGAUACCAGUGGUUGAGGAUCAGUAAUAAGGGUAAAAUCUCUCCCAUACAGGUACUUGUUGAAACAUUUUGCACUCCAAACCAAACUAAAGGCCUCUGUCAAUCUGUGCUUUAUUUUUCUCUGCAGCAGUAAGGGAACAUAAUUCAAAGGCUAUGGAGCGUUCACUUCUAUCACUCAUAACAUGUGACAUGACUGCACCUAUACCAUAAGGUGAGGAACCACAGGUAAACUUUACUGGAUGAUAUAGGUUAGGUGAGUGGGCAAAUUCAUGGCAGAUGCAAUUUAAUGUGGAUAAAUGUGAGGUUAUCCACUUUGGUUGCAAGAACAGGAAAACAGAUUAUUAUCUGAAUGGUGACCGAUUAGGAAAAGGGGAGAUGCAACGAGACCUGGGUGUCAUUAUACACCAGUCAUUGAAGGUGGGCAUGCAGGUACAGCUGUCGGUGAAAAAGGCAAAUGGUAUGUUGGCAUUCAUAGCAAAAGGAUUUGAGUACAGGAGCAGGGAGGUUCUACUGCAGUUGUACAAGGCCUUGGUGAGACCACACGUAGAAUACUGUGUGCAGUUUUGGUCCCCUAAUCUGAAGAAAGACAUUCUUGCCAUAGAGGUAGUACAGAGAAGGUUCACCAGAUUGAUUCCUGGGAUGGCAGGACUUUCAUAUGAAGAAAGACUGGAUCGACUAGGCUUAUACUCACUGGAAUUUAGAAGAUUGAGGGGGGAUCUUAUUGAAACAUAUACAAUUCUAUAGGGAUUGGACAGGCUAGAUGCAGGAAGAUUGUUUCCGAUGUUGGGGAAGUCCAGAAUGAGGGGUCACAGUUUAAGGAUAAAGGGGAAGCCUUUUAGCACUGAGAUGAGGAAAAACUUCCUCACACAGAGAGUGGUGAAUCUGUGGAAUUCUCUGCCACAGGAAUCAGUUGAGGCCAGUUCAUUGGCUAUAUUUAAGAGGAAUUUAGAUAUGCCCCUUGUGGCUAAAGGGAUCAGGGGGUAUGGAGAGAAAGCAGGUACAGGGUUCUCAGUUGGAUGAUCAGCCAUGAUCAUACUGAAUGGCGGUGCAGGCUCGAAGGGCCGAAUGGCCUACUCCUGCACCUAUUUUCUAGGUUUCUAUGUUUCUAUAUGGGUCAUAAUGUGUGAGUACAAUGUCUGACAUCACGAUAUCCUUUGUCUUUUGUCACACUGGUUUAUCCAUUGCCAUUUCUCCCCGAUCUCAAGUAAUGAGCUUAAGGGGUCAAACAUUGUUAUAACAGGAACCUGCUAGUAAUUGACAAUCCCUAAAACAGACCACAACUGUGAGCCAUCCUUUGGAGUUGGAGAAUCCAACGCUGCUUGAUUUCUCUCAGCACGCUUGUGUAAAUCUUGUGUGUCAAUGGUGUGACCGUAGUAAGUGAUACUUGUUUUAAAGAAUUCACAUUUGUUGCAUCAUGCUGUGAGUCCAGAACAUUCUAACCUUUCUAACACUGUCUUAAGAGUUUGGAGAUGUUCCUUGUCAUCCCCUCCAGUAACAAUGUAUGUCUGGGAAGCCUUGCAGCCACUGGUCCUUUUCUUUCUGUCAGAGUGCAGGAGCAGUUGCCGCUCCAAAAAUAGGCCGAUUAUAGUGAUAAAGCCCUUUGAAUAUUGAUGGUGAGAAACACUUUGUACUCUUCUUCUAUCUCCAUCUGUAGGCCUCAGCUAAGUCCACUUUGCUGAAGUGUUUCCCUCCAGAAAGGUUUGCAGAUACGUCCUCUAUCCUGGGCAGAGGGUAUUGAUAUACUUUCAGUACUGAGUUGAUGAUGACCUUAAAAUCACCACAGACCCUGACAGACUCAUCCAUCUUGGCUACUGGGACCAGUGGCAUUGUCCAUGGGCUCCCCUCAAUUUUGGAAAGGACAUCCUCAACCUCCAUUCAAUCUAGUUCACUGGCUUCUUUAUCACAGCAGGUAUAUAGAACCGGGUGGGCUUUGUAAAACUUGGAUGUGGCUUUUUCAUUUUAACACAAUUUUACUCUUGAUAUGUUUGCAUUUUCCAAUACCAUCCUCGAACACAGCUGUGGCAUCAUCCUGUAACUCCCUUAAUUCACUUCUAGUUAUUGCAGGGGUUGUGCAUGCAAAUGGUGGAUGGAUUUCAAUGCCUCCCAGUCCUGUGUCAUUCUCAUCAUUAUCAGCAGCGAGAGAUUGACCCAUCUUCAACACUCAACCAGAUUCAAAAACAGUUAUUUCCCCCAAGCUCUCAGGCUGAUCAACACCUCCACAUAUUAACUCACCCCACCACAACUUGCUUCCUAAGCCUGCUGCUACCUAGAAGAGACUAUGGUAAGCACUGACAUGACUUAGUGGAGGAGUGGAGGAAUGGCAGACUCCUCACGAAAACAGAAUGUUAGACAUGGGAAUACCAACAGAGCUUCGGAGGCACGACCGAUUGAAACUGUGAGACAACUCAUUCCCCACAAACAUAGCAGGACUCUACUUACAGAGCACAAGAGUCUGCCUAUGAAUUAUCAUUGAAUGUAAGAAAUACAUGCUGGCAACAAUCAAUCUAACAAGACCAAACAGAAAGCACUGGGUUUAAUGACUCUAACAUUUAGUAAAUAUGGCUGCUCAAGAAACCCUGAAGUCCAACACUUUAUGUCACGCCGUAGAGAGGUGCAAGACUCAUGAAGUACCUUUCUCCCUAAGGCCAACACGUGACAAUCCAGGAGGCCCGGGAAACUAGAGACGGGUUGGAAAAUCCCAGAGCAGACCUGAUAUUCUCCGAUUGGGGCUGGAAAAAACCUGGAGUGCACUUGAUACUCUCUCGAGAGCGAUCUGGGAAAAUCCCGGGGCAGAGCUGAUGCUCUCGAGACAGGGCUGAAAAAAAGGCAGGGGAAGACCUAAUGCUCUUGGAACAAGGCCAGAAAGAACCUGAGACAGACCUGACGCUCAUGAGACAGAUCUUGAAAAA